rnacentral:rRNA from 1 species
GCCGGAGUGAAGAUGUUAAGUUCACUGCCUGGGGAGUACGGUCGCAAGGCUGAAACUUAAAGGAAUUGGCGGGGGAGCACUGCAACGCGAGGAGCGUGCGGUUUAAUUGGAUUCAACGCCGGAAAACUCACCAUGGCCGACUGUUAGAUGAAGAUCAGCGUAAUGAGCUUAUCGGAUUUUCAGAGAGGUGGUGCAUGGCCGUCGUCAGUUCGUACUGUAAAGCGUUCUGUUAAGUCAGAUAACGAACGAGACCCUCAUCCCUAUUUGCUAAGAUCUCUCCGGAGGUCACAGGACUAUAGGGAGACCGCUGGCGCGAAGUCAGAGGAAGUCGAGGGCAACGGUAGGUCAGUAUGCUCCGAAUGCUAUGGGCUACACGCGCAAUACAAAGGACAGGACAAUGGGCUGCUGCUCCGAAAGGAAUGAUAGCUAUCCCGAAACCUGUUCGUAGUGCGGAUUGAGGGCUGUAACUCGCCCUCAUGAAGCUGGAUUAGGUAGUAAUCGCGUCUCAAUAAGGCGCGGUGAAUAUGCCCCUGCUCCUUGCACACACCGCCCGUCAAACCAUCUUAGUUGGGGGUGGGUGAGGCUGCCUUUUAGUGGGGUAUUCGAGCCUGCCUUCGACAAGGAGGGUUAAGUCGUAACAAGGUAUCUGUAGGGGAACCUGCAGAUG